GCUGGGAUAAACGAUUAUUUUUUAAACGAUUAAUCUAGCGAUUAUUUUUUUCGGUCACCCAAAAUACUUGUUUAGAGCAAUUGAAAGAAUACAGUAACCAAUGUAAACUUGAGGACUUUAAGCUAAUACAGAGAGUGCUUUAAAAAAAAAAAAAAAAAAUUAA